UGGAUGAUGUGGUUAAUCGAUGCAACGCGAAAACCUUACCACCUUUGACAUGUACGGAAUCCUUUAGAGAUAGAGGAGUGCUCGAAAAGAGAGCCGUAACACAGGUGCUGCAUGGCUGUCGUCAGCUCGUGUCGUGAGAUGUUGGGUUAAGUCCCGCAACGAGCGCAACCCUUGUCAUUAGUUGCUACAUUCAGUUGGGCACUCUAAUGAGACUGCCGGUGACAAACCGGAGGAAGGUGGGGAUGACGUCAAGUCCUCAUGGCCCUUAUAGGUGGGGCUACACACGUCAUACAAUGGAUGGUACAAAGGGUCGCCAACCCGCGAGGGGGAGCCAAUCCCAUAAAGCCAUUCGUAGUCCGGAUCGCAGUCUGCAACUCGACUGCGUGAAGUCGGAAUCGCUAGUAAUCGUGGAUCAGAAUGUCACGGUGAAUACGUUCCCGGGUCUU
rnacentral:rRNA from 1 species